CUGGAGUCAUGUGGCAUUCCUAUGAUUAAAGACAUAACUUGGUAAGAUCAAUAAUCACAGAAAACCAAUUGAGCAGUUGGGGAGGAUCUUGGCAUUCUCAACAGUUUCUGUGAUGCCAAAAACAAAGAUUUUGAUGGACGUUGAGGUGGCAUGAUUCCUUUUACGUUGAUCACCAUCUUUUCUAGAUUGAUUGCGUAUUUUAACAGAUACUCUAAGAAUGGAAAUACGUCGUCAUCCUCAUCCCAAGUAACCACAACUGUCCUCAACUGCAGAAAGGACUUGGGAGGAUAUGCUUCAAACUUGAGGUAGCUCAUGGCAUCAAAGUUGAGUGACUCUCGGUUUUCAUGCGCCCCGUAUCCUCCACUCCAUACAAUGACUAACUUCUUUAAUUGAGGGAAACUCUCAAGUAGGCCUACUAAUAGUUUGUAGUCACUGAAACAAAAUCUGAGUUCUAAGGACUUGACAUUAGGAUAAGAGGAAUUNCCCGUAUCCUCCACUACAUACAAUGACUAACUUCUUUAAUUGAGGGAAACUCUCAAGUAGGCCUACUAAUAGUUUAGUAGUCACUGAACAAAAUCUGAGUUCUAAGGACUUGACAUUAGGAUAAGAGGAAUUCAUGCAUCUCUUUAUCAUAGCUCCAAGCACCUAAUGUAACAUAAGUUCAUAAAAUAAUCAGCUCACUGAAGCAAACACCAAGUAAGAUAAAAGGCAAGCAUUGAUUUUUAGGGAUGCAACAGUGACUUCAUCAAAUUAAAAGAAUGUCAAACAUUCCAUAUCAUUUAUGGUUAUUACAAUACUAACAUACAAGUCACAAGCUUGAUGCUACAAAGUAAUGCAUAUAUAAAUUCUAGAAUGGAUUUAAAAAGGCCAAAAAAUGGAUAGGAGUUAGUUGCAUGAUAAAUGUGGGAACUCUUAUAAGUGGUUCAGUUAAAGAAGCCAAUGAUGCAACAAAGAAAGCAUACAAACACCGCCAUGCCAUCCAAGCUGAGAUUCACAGAUUAAUUGAAGUUAGAAUUACGAGAACAUGACUAACAACUAUGCUAAAUAAAUAAUGAAAACUUCAUCAAUAUAUUUAGAAUUAAUUUGAUCUCUUCAGUCUCAUUGCUACUCUAUUAAUACAUAACAAAUGCAAGACACAUAAGAUAGUUUAAAGAAACCAAACCUUGAUGCAAAGAACAUUAAUUUGACGUUUACAACAUGUUGCAUGGUUGAGAGAAAUUGACAGAACACGUCUCCCAGAAAAUCAUCCUUGGUAAACAAGCCAAGCUUGGUGUCCAUCCAAGGAAAGACACUUUCAUUUCCAUCAAAUUCAUAACCAUGUAGACCAAAAAACCCAAGAGUUGCAUUGGUCAAAGAUGAGAUAUUCACCAACAUACUCUUUCUAUAUGGAACUCCUUCAAUUUCCAAGGUUUCAAGAUUCGGGGUACAAAUUCUCAGUUCGGAAUCCCACCAUAGUAGAUCUUCACGAGAACAAAAAAACUCGCGAAUCGACAGCACUUUCAAACUAGUAGAUCGGAUACACAAGUGUUCACCCAUAUCGACAAAAGACAUGAUCAAGACUUCCAACUGAGGACUACCACAAAGUAUCUGGUUAAUCAAAGUUCAGUGACCCCAAAGCCAUAAGUAAUUGUUAAACUUUUGAGUUGAUUCCACUGCACAUUCCCAUAUACUCUAAAGUUACAAUCCUCAAACGAUAACACCUUAAGCGAUGAGCACGAGUAUACACACUGUGGCACAUAGUAUAUGUCGUCCAUACUAUCAAAAUCAUCAUCCCAAUCUUUUGGUAACCUAAUAUGUAAGUAGAAUUCUUCGACCCCUUAUCUGCAAAUUGAACCACAAAUCAACCCAAAUAAUGGACCCAUCAUUCUGAUAAACCGAUUUGACCUUAUAACCCAUUUAACUUGAAUUUCAGAACCUUACCCCAUUCCAGCGAUAAGGCCCGAUUAACGAAGUUUUAAGCUUUCUAUCAUCAUAAUUCAUGCAUAUUGUCGAAAUUAAGGAGGUGCGGUGGUCCAAAGGUUUUUCCAGCGCUUCGAUAGAAUCGUUGUCCUAACAACAUCAGUCAUAGGCAACGACCAAAAUAUGUGAAAUAUUAACGAGUCCGGCAACUCACUGAGUCGAUCCAUGAAAACCUCUGAAACAUAUGAAGCAUCAAUGAAUGAAAUGAGCACAAAAACUCAGAAUUCACCUUUAAUGGAAGCAAAAUAACACAUAUUAUAUAAAAUUCUGAAGAUUGAUUACCUAAGAUGAACGCGUCUUCUUCGCGCCAACAAAACCCUUGUUUGAGCUAAUGAACUGACGGACACUGAAGUGAAAAUUAAGGGGUGGUCUCACUACUAUAAAAAGGGCCUUUAAAAUUGGUUUUAAAUUUCACUCAAAUUAAUCUUUUUAUUUUUAAAAUCGAACAUUUUAUUAAAUUUACAAUAAUUAAAUAAAAUGGUAUUUAUAGAUAAAUUUAUGUGAAAAAUGGAAGAAAUGGAAUAGUAUUUAUAGAUAAAUUUUAGAAUAAAAAGGAAAAGAACAACCGUUGCAAUGGCUAAUUUAAAAAAAUGGACAAAAAGAGCCAUUGGGAUUAAUUUAAAGUUUAAUUUUGAAAUAGCGCGCAUAGCAUGCACCUCAUAUUUCUUAAUGAAAGCACGGCGUGAGGCUUAAAGCUCGGCACAAGCUUGAGGUGUGGCACUAGGAGGGCGGUGCAGAUAGCGAGGCUCGAUGUGACGGGUAGAGUCCCAUUGCGGAUGUUCUAAAUAAGAAUAUAUCUUAUACACUGAUAUAGUGAUAUGUAUUUAUUCGCAUGUAUUUAUAUUAGGUUGUUUCCUUGGUCUUCAUUAUUAUAUUGUAGUCUUGUUUAAGGUUCACCUCAAUCAAUUAACAAACAAGGAUAAUGUAUCAUUCAUUUUUGUUAGAGCUAAAUUAUUAACUCUAUUUUAUUUAUAUAGUUUUAUCUUUUUUAUUAAAUAUAUUAUAUUUCAGAGAAUAUAUAUUGUUUUUUUUUUUUGUUGAAGGAAGAGAAUAUAUAUUGUUAGAUUGCAUUUGCAACAUAUUAAUUUGGUUAUGGGCCGGAAAUAAUUUGGUUAUGGGUCAGAGUUUGGGCUCACCAUCCUUAAUUUUCAAGCUUCAAUAGCUCUAUAAAUAGAGCCCAAAAAUUGCACCUAAUCAAACCACAAACACAUUUUUAUGAAAUCGAUUUUUUAAUGUCUAGAACUUAGAAACCCAAAAACUUUUUUAUUCCAUGGGCAACUCACUAUAUAGGAUGCUCCAUCGUGAUUAUGUUUUUUUUUUUCCUUUAUUAAAUAAACAAAAUAUUUAGUUGAUAACUAAUAAAAGAGGUGACAAUUUCAGUUCUCUUUUGCUUGAAUACAACAGAAAUCUAAAUGAUCAACGUUUUAUAUGUGAAAGAAAUGAAAUCAUUAACAAGUAUUUGAAGCCCUAGACUAAUUUGACAUUGGGAAGUAAAGCAAAAUAAGUAACAAUCUAGAUUUCAUCCAUAACAAUAAGGAGUAAACAAGUGUGCUACAAAUGAAAAGAGCAUCAACUUAAUCCAAAAGUGUCAAAUUGCUCUGCUUCCCAGAAUAAUCAAAUAUAAUCCCCAAAAUGAAACAGAGGACAUUAAAAUUGCAAACUAUUACACAUCUAAGAAGACUAUCAGUUACAAGGAAUCAUGCUGUAUUCCUCUAUGAUUGAAGACAUAACUUGGUAAGAUCAAUAUUCACUUAAAGUGAACCGUGCAGCUAGGGAGGAUCUUGGCAUUCUCAGCAGCCUCUUUGACGCUAAACGCAAGGAGUUAGAAGGGUGUGAAGGUGACAUGGUUCUUUUUACUCGAAACACAAUCUUUUCUAGCUUACUCGCAUUUUUCAACAGAAACUCUAGAAAUGGAAAUAAGAUGUCACCCUCAACCAAAGUAACCUCAACCCUCCUCAACUCCAGCACAAACGACAUAGGAAGAUUUUUUUCAAGCUGGAGGUAGGUGUUAGCAGUCCGCAGUGAAUCACGGUAAUCAUAGGACGGGACACAUUCUCCAACUUCAAUGAAUAACUUCUUUAAUAGAGGGGAAAUCUCAAUCAUACCUACAUAUUUAAGAAUGAAAUCUGUGCCGUAAGGACUUGACAUUAGGAGAGAUGAAUUCAUGCAUCCUCUAUCAUAGCUCAAGCACCUGUUGUAUCAAUAAGUUUAUAUAAGAGGAUGAGCUGAUUGAAGCAAAGACCAGUAAGAUACAAGGCACAACAUUGAUUCAUGGGUAUGUAAUGAUAAUUCCCUAAAUUUAAGAGGUGUCCAUAAUUGGUUCAAAGCUAAUCAUAAUAAUGCAAAAUUACUCAACAUAAAAUCUCUAAAAUGUGAUUAGAAAGGCAAAAAAAGAUAGAGUUUAUCCCUGAUAAAUGUGAUAACCUUAAUAUAUUUGAUUCAGUGAAGAAGCCACUUAUGAAACAAAGAAAAACAUACAAACACAGCCAAGCCAUCCAUGCACAUUCAUGUAAUAAUUAACACAACAUAAUCAAUAGGUAUGCCAAAUAAACUAUGAAAUCAUUAUCAAGCGUGAUUAACAAAUGAAAUGUUACUUUAUGCAUAAAUCUAUAAGAAAUGUAAGUGCCGGAAGAAGAUCAAAGAAACCAAACCUUGACGCAGCAGGACAACAAUGUGAUGUUUUCAACGUGUUGGAUGCUUGGAAGAACUUGACCAACUAAAUCUCCAAUAAAAUGGUUCGUGGAUAACAUGUCACAAUAUUCAUUAAACAAUGUACAUAAGAAUACCCAAUAGUUGCAUGGGUUAAAGAUGAGACAUUCAUCAACAAGCACUUGUUAUAUGGAUUCCUUUAAUUUUUAGUGUUUAAGAUUUGGGGUCCAAAUCUCAGCUCCUAUAAUAGAUGCAUCAUCGCAUUAUCAUCAUAACAUAAAAUAUUGCAAAUCGACAGCUCUUUCAAACUAGUAGAUCGGAUACACAAGCUUUGAGCUCUAAAUUCAAAAGACAUGGUUAAGACUUCCAACUGAGGGCUGCCACACAAUAUUUGAUUAAUCACAUCUUCGGUGACCCCAAAACCAUUCAUAAUUCUCAGGCUCUUGAGUUGAUUCCACUGCACAUUCACCUUAAUUCUAAAGUAACAAUUCUCGAUCGAUAACAUUUUAAGUGAUGAGCAUGAGUACAGAUACUGUGGCACCCAUGAUACAUGGUGAUCUUCCUAAUCCAUGACAUGUCUGGCAUCAGAUUAUGCAAGUAUAAUUCUUCGACUUCAUAUUUCUUGGCAAAUCGGACCCACAAAUCAACAUCUCCACCUGAUUCAUCAUAAUCCGCAACAACCUUGAAUUUCAGAACCUUACCCCAUCCCAGCGUAAUAAAGUCUGGUGAACGAAGUGUCGAAAUUUAUCUGUAGUACUAAAUUGUGAACCAGAUUUAGAUUCAUCAAAAUUAAGGAAAGGGGUGGUGGUCCAGAGGUUUAACCAGCGCUUUGACAGAAUUGUUGUCCUAACAACUUCAUUCAUAGGCAACAACCAAAAUAUGUGAAAUAUAACAGAGUCCGGCAACUCACUGAGUCGAUCCAUCUUCAAAAUCAAAUCAUCCAAAGCAUAAAUUCACCUAAACAUAUUCGGAGCAACAACACAUACUAUCAAAUCCUCGAAGAUUACCUCAAAUGAACGCUUUGUUCUCUCGGAUGCUGCAGCCCAAAAUUGCCCUAGUUUGAGCUAAUCAACAAACACAGAGAGCUCAAAAGCCAUUAAAUCGGGCUGCAAACGAGCUCUGGUCGUCUAUUAGGGCUCGAGCUCGGCUCGUAAAAGGCUCGUUGAGUUGAGCUAGAGAAAGAGCUUGUUCAACAAGUAAGGGGCGAAAGGAUCCAUGGAGGCCGCGACUAGAAGCGACAGAUGUGGCGGCGGAGUCGGUGAAUUUGAAAAAAUCAAUCGACAAAAUGAUGUGCUUUUAGUUCAGCUGAUGGGGUGGCAGGUUGAUAAUGGCGGCGGAAAGUGGAGAAGAUGAAUUGAAUGGUGGCGGGAUUGAUUUCGGCCGGUGUGGGGGUGGGGUGCUGCGGUGGUGGGAGAGAGGCUGGCGACUGAGCGGCGGCGGGUUCGGAAUUGGAGAUGCAAUUUGGGGGAGUUGUGCAUACUGAUUAUUUAUACGUAUUUUUCUAAAAUAUUGAAUUUAAUUAUUAAUUCUAAAAAUAAUUUGAAAUUACACAAACAAAAAUCCAAAACAAUUAAAUGAAAUAGAGAAUUUACAUUACAUGGUAAAAAAGGUUUUUGAAGAUUUAAAAAGAGAAUUUAAUAUCAUACUAUUUAUACCACAUGACAUGACAACAAAAUAUAAACAAUUCUAAUGGACUAAAAGAAAAUAUUUGAAGAUCAUAAUUACUCAAUAUUAUCACGUACAUGUAUGAUUAAAUUAGUAAUCUAUAUAAUAUUAUAUAUAAAAAAAGAUUUUUUUUUUCCUUCAUUUUUUUCCUCUCUUUUCUCUCUCUUUCCACAAUUUUUUUUACUAUUUUUUCUUUUUGUUUUUUUAUAUUUUAAUUAUUUUCUAAACAUCCUCAAUUUGAUUCAUGAAAAAAAAUAUUCAAUAUGCAUUUCAAAUUUAAUAUAGUAUAAAAAUCAUCAAAAAAUAAUUUAAAAAUGAAUAGUUAUGAAAAUUUAAACUUUUUAUUUAUGUUUGUGUACUUGGAAAUAUUUAUUUAUUUAUUUAUUAUGACGCGUACUAUAUAAUAAUAUGCGUAAUGCUAAUUUUAGUAUAGAUAAUUUUAAAUUUAUUUAAUAACUAUAUUUAUCAUUACACUUUUACAAAGUUGAAAAAUUACAUUUUCAAAUUUAUGAUUUUAUUGAGUAACUGAUAUGGAUUAUUACACUUUCUUUUAAAACAUAUUUUGAUUUUUUAAUAUUAUUAUAAUAUUUAUUUAUAUAUUUAAAUAUAUCAUUUAAUUUUAAAUGAAAUAUGUAAUAAUCUAUUUUUAUAUAAAUAAUCUAAUAUGCUCAGUAAAUGUAGAUAAAAUAUUUAAUAAAUUAGUAUUAAUGGUGGUGAUAAAUAUAAUGAUAGUAUACAUUUAUCGAUCUCCUUGAGAUAUAUUUCUUAAAUAUCUGAAAUUAAUAAAAGCAUCAUUUCAAACACUUAUCCUCUACUCUAACAAUAUCUACGAUAAUUUUUAUUUGAAAUAACUGGUAAUAAUUGUUCAUACCCAUAUACUUUAACAUCCAUGACAACAUAAUAAAUAAUUAAAUUUUAAAUAUAAAAAAUUCAAAAUAACAUUUACUAUUAAAAAAAUAAUGUCUCUUGUGCAUACGAGAGUAAAACUAGUUUUUUUAAUGUUUAAAAGUUAGAAACCCAAAAACUUUUUUAUUCCAUGGGCAACUCAAGGAAGCUCCAUCGUGAUUAUGUUUUUUUUCCCCCUUAUUAAUUUUAACAGAAUAUUUAGUUGAUAACUAAGAUAAGAGGUGACAAUUUUAGUUCUCUUUUGCUUAAAUAGUUGAAUACAACAGAAAUCUAAAUGAUCGACGUUUUAUAUGUGAAAGAAAUGAAAUUGUUAACUAUCAUAUGAAGCACAAGAUUAAUUUGACAUUGGGAAGUAAACCAAGAUAAACAACAAUCUAGAUUUCAUCCACAAGAGUGCUACUGAUCAAGGUUUGACAUUGGGUGUAGCACUGAUCAAUUUCUCUGUUUUCACGAACACGUUUGACAAGAAAAAUAGCAAUCAAGGUUUCAUUCAUAGCAAUAAGAAGUUAAUCCAAACGGUGUAAAAUUGCUCCACUGCCCUGAAUAAGCUAAAUACAACCCCAAAAUGAAACAAACAAGGUAACAAAAACUGAGACAGGGUUGAAGAAAAGUAAAAUCCAACUCCCCAUCUCGGAGCAUAAUGCCGUCAUAGCAAAAUAUUAGCCGUCUACGAAGACAAUCAGCUAGUUACCUGGAGUCAUGUGGCAUUCUCCUAUGAUUAAAGACAUAAUUUGGUAAGAUCAAUAUUCAGAGAAAAUCAAUUGAGCAGUUGGGGAGGAUCUUGGCAUUCUCAACAGUUUCUGUGAUGCCAAAAACAAAGAUUUUGAUAGAUGUUGAGGUGGCAUGAUUCCUUUUACUCUGAACACCAUCUUUUCUAGAUUGCUUGCAUAUUUUAACAGAAACUCUAAAAACGGAAAUACGUCGUCAUCCUCAUCCCAAAUAACCUCAACUGUCCUCAACUGCAGAAAGGACUCGGGAGGAUAUGCUUCAAACUUGAGGUAGCUCUUGGAUCAAAGUUGAGUGACUGUUGGUUUUCAUGUAUCUCGUUUCCUACUUUAGAUUCAAGGACUAACUUCUUUAAUUGAGGGAAACUCUCAAGUAGACCUACUAAUAGUUUGUAGUCAUUGAAACAAAAUCCGAGAUGCAAGGACUUGACAUUAGGAAAAGAGGAAUUCAUUUCAUGCUUCUCUUUAUCAUAGCUCCAAGCACCUGAUGUAAAAUAAGUUCAUAAUAAUAAUCAGCUCACUGAAGCAAACACCAAGAAGAUAAAAGGCAACAUUGUUUUUAGGGAUGCAACAAUGACUUCAUCAAAUUAAAAGAAUGUCAAACAUUCCAUAUGAUUUAUAGUUAUUACAAUGCUAACAUACAAGUCACAAGCUUGAUGUUACAAAGUAAUGCAUAUAUAUAAAUUCUAGAAUGGAUAUAAAAAGGAUAGGAGUUAGUUGCAUGAUGAAAGUGGGAACUGUCUCUAAUAUACGUGGUUCACAUGCACACACUAAUUGAAGUUAGAAUUAAGAAAACAUGACUUAACAACUAUGCUCAAUAAAUAAUGAAAACUUCAUCAACAUAUUUAAAACUAAUUUGAUCUCUUCAGCCUCAUUGCUACUCUAUUAAUACAUAACAAAUGCAAGACGCAUAAGAUAGUUUAAGGAAACCGAACCUUGAUGCAACGGAACAUUAACGUGACGUUUUCAACAUGUUGGAUGGUUGAGAGAAUUCGACAGAACAUGUCUCCCAAAAAAUCGUCCGGGGUAAACAAGCCACGCUCAGUGUUCAUCCCAGGAAAGUCCGAAUCAUAUUUAUCAAAACCGUGUAGACCAAAAAACCCAAGAAUUGCGUGGGUUAAAGAUGAGACAUUCACCAAUAGACACUUUUUAUAUGGAGCUCCUUUAAUUUCCAAGGUUUCAAGAUUUGGGGUACAAAUUCUCAGUUCUGAAUCCCAACAUGGAUCAACACGAAAAUAUGAAGACAUGUGAAUCGACAGCACUUUCAAACUAGUAGAUCGUAUACACAAGUUUUCACCUCUAUCUACAAAAGAUAAGAUCAAGACUUCCAACCGAGGACUACCAUAUAAUAUUUGGUUAAUCACAUGUUCAGUGACCCCAAUACCAUUAAUAAUUGUUAAACUUUUCAGUUGAUUCCACUGCACAUUCCUAUAAUUUCUAAAGUUCCAAUCCUGACACCAGAACACUUUAAGAGAUGAGCAUGAGUAUACAUACUGCGGCAACCAGUAUAUGUCGUCAAGAUCAUCAAAAUCAAACAGAAUAUUCAAGUAUAAUUCUUCGACCUCCUUAUCCUUGCCAAAUAGAACCCACAAAUCAGUACCCAAUAACAUGGACUCAUCAGCAUAAGCCGAUUUGAACUUGAAUUUCAGAAGCCUUACCCCAUUCCAGCGCAAUAAGGCCCGAUUAACGAAGUUUUGAAGCUCUCUAGCAUCAUCAAAAUCCAUAGCAGCAUUGUCGAAAUUAAGGUAGGGUGCGGUGAUCCAAAGGUUUUUCCAGCGCUUGGAUAGAAUCGUUGUCCUAACAACAUCAGUCAUAGGCAACGACCAAAAUAUGUGAAAUAUUAACGAGUCCGGCAACUCACUGAGUCGAUCCAUGAAACCCUCUGAAACAUAAUGAAGCAUCAAUGAAUGAAAUGUGCAUCAACAACUCAGAAUUCACCUUUAAUGGAAGCAAAAUAGCACAUUGACAAGAUUACCUCGAGAUGAACGCUUCUUCAUUCUCGCGCCAAAAAAACCCUUGCUUGAGCUGAUGAACAUAACACACGAGACUGAAAAGGCAUUAAAGUUGAAAAUUAAGCGUUGGGUCCCUAAAAUAAAUUCAUCUUUUUAGUUUUGGGACCUCCCCAAAUAAGUUUCUCUUUCUUUGUUUUUAUUUUUGGACAAUUAUCUCACGACUAAUAAUAAUUUAUUUAUUCUUACUUUUUACUUUUUCACCACUUCCAAUACUAAUUACUCCAUCCGUCCGCCAAAAGUAUUCCACAAUUACUAUAUUUGGCGUCAGCAAAAAGUAUUCCACUUUCCUUUUUAAGUCAUGGUCCCACCAUCCACCUUUAUAUUUUAUCCUUACAAACACUCUUUAUUUACAAAAAACUCACCUCAAAUUCAAUCUCAACCACACAUCUCAUAAAGUGGUGGGACCCUUUCUCCACUACAUCAACAUCAUCACCAAUUUUAUUAAACUCCGUGUCCAGCCAAAGUGGAAUACUUUUGGCGGACGGAGGGAGUAUAAUAUUUUUUCACCAUUCCCAAUACUAAUUACUCCAUCCGUCCCACUGCAAUAAGCUCACUUCUUUUGGGCACGGAAAUUAAGAAAAUUUACUUUUUAGUAGCAAAGUGGUAGUAAAGUGGUGUGGUCCACACCAAUUUAGUAGUACAACUUUUUCUUCAAAAUGGAAAAUGAGUUUAUUGGAGUGGGACAUCCCCAAAAGGAAAAUGAACCUAUUAGAGUGGGACGGAUGGAGUAUAGCAUAUUUUUUUCCACUAAUAUACUUUAUCACUUUUUCUUAAAAUUCGUGCUGUCCCCAAAGAGGAAUUUAUUUUGGGGACAGAGGGAGUAUUCCAGAAAUUUGAUGAUGAGAUUCUUUUGGUAAAAAAUUUUUAUAGGGGUUUUAACUAUUUUAAAGUGUUAUUCGUAUAUGUGGAAGAGGCAAUCUGUUUUUCAUUUUGUCACCAACCAAAACCAUUGGCAGAUAACCAUUUUAUCUCUCUUAAUUAAAAAGGGACUUUAAAAUUGGUUUUAAAAAUUUUUAUUUUCAUUUUACUUAAUAUACCUUUUUAUUUAAAACCAAACAUUUCAUUAAAUUUAAAAUUUAAGCAUUACAUUGAUUAAAAUAAAAUAUAAUAAUAAAAAUAUAUUACAAUAAUAUAAAUAAAAUGAAGAGUUGGAAGAGGAGUUGGAAAAAUAAGACAUUAUUAGAGGAGAAAAAUGAAAAAUAAAAGAUGAGUAGUAGUAAUUGAUAAAAUCGAAUAAAUGAAAUACCUAUUUAUAGAUAAAUUUUAUAAUAGAAAAAAGCGAAACAACAGUUGCAGUGACUAAUUAAAAAAAUAGACAAAAAAGAACCAUUGGGAUCAAUUUAAAAUUUAAUUUUAAAAUAGCACGCGCAUAGCAUGCGCCUCAUAUUUAUCGACGAAAAUCCGACAUGAGGCUUAAAGCUCGGCACGAGCUUGAGGUGCGGCACUAGGAGUAGGAGGGCAGUGCGGAUAGCUGUGCUCAUUGUGGCAAUUAGAGUCCCGUUGUGAAUGCUCUAAAUAAGAAUAUAUCUUAUACACUAAUAUAGUGACAUGUAUUUAUUCGUAUGUAUAGUAUUUAUAUUAGGUUCCUUAAGGUCUUCAUUAUAAUACUGUACUUGUUUAAUAUGUUCACCUCGAUCAAUUAACGAACAAGGAUAAUGCAUCAUUCAUUUUUGUUAGAGCUAAUUAGUUUAUUUAUAUGGUUUUAUCUUUUUUAUUAAACUAGCAGAAAUAGCGUCCAUUGUACGCAUAAUUAAUAUUAUUUUAUUUGAUAAAAUAUAAAUAUAAUAUUUAUUAUAUUUAAUUUUCAAUUAACAAUUUGAUCUAUUUAAUUUUUUUAAUUCUAUUAUUUAUCUCUUACCACGAUUAAUUAGAAAGAAUUGGUAAGACCGAGAGAGUAUAAUUAAUUGAUAUAUAUCACAUAAAUUUAGUGUAAUAUCUAAUGAAUUAAUAUAUUCUUAUAAAUAUAUAACAUGUAAAAUAACUUUAAAAUAAAAAUACAAUAGGAAUAAAAUAGGUCAUCCACAUAUUAUGUCUAAAGCACUUUUUAUAUAUUUUUAUAUAUUAGUAUAGAUAUAUUACAUUUAAGAGAAUAUAUAUUGUUAGUUUGCAUUUGUAACAUAUAUUAAUUUGGUUAUGGGCCGGAGUUUGGGCUCACCGUCCUUAAUUUUCAAGCUUCAAUAACUCUAUAAAUAGUAUCAAACCGCAAACACGUUUCUAUGAAAUCUAUUUUUUAAUGUUUAGAACUUAGAAACCCAAAAACUUUUUUAUUCCAUGGGCAACUCACUAUAAGAAGCUCCAUCGUGAUUAUGUUUUUUUUUUCCUUUAUUAAUUUAACACAAUAUUUAGUUGAUAACUAAGAAAAGAGGUGACAGUUUCAGUUCUCUUUUGCUUGAAUACCAACAGAAAUCUAAAUGAUCGACGUUUUAUAUGUUAGAGAAAUGAAAUUGUUAGCUAUCAUAUGAAGCACUAGAUUAAUUUGACAUUGGGAAGUAAAAGCAAGAUAAACAACAAUCUAGAUUAACAAGAGUGCUACUAAUGAAAAUUGCUCUGCUUCCCUAAAUAAGCAAAUAUAUAAAGAACAAUUGAAGACGAAACAAAAGGAUAUCAAGCUCAGCACAUACUGCAUUCCUAUGAUUGAAGACAUAACUUGGUAAGAUCAAUAUUCAAGAAAGUAAAUUGUGCAGUUCAUGAGGUUUCAUUCAUAGCACUAAGAAAUUCAUCCAAAAGUGUCGAACUGCUCUACUGCCCUGAAUAAGCAAAAUACAACAACAAAAUGAAACAAACAAGGUAACAAAAACUGAAACAGGGUUAAAGAAAAGUAAAAUCCAACUCCCCAGAUCGGAGCAUAAUGCCGUCAUUGCAAAAUAUUUACAGAAAAUGUACGACAAACGCUAUUACCCGUCCAAGAAGACAAUCAGCUAGUUACUUGGAGUCAUGUGGCAUUCCUAUGAUUAAAGACAUAACUUGGUAAGAUCAAUAUUCACAGAAAAUCAAUUGAGCAGUUGGGGAGGAUCUUGGCAUUCUCAGCAGUUUCUGUGAUGCCAAAAACAAAGAUCUUGGCAUGAUUCCUUCUACUCUGAACACCAGCUUUUCUAGAUUGCUUGCGUGUUUUAACAAAAACUCUAAAAACGGAAAUACGUCGUCAUCCUCAUCCUCAUCCCAAAUAACCUCAACUGUCCUCAACUGCAAAAAGGACUCGGGAGGAUAUGCUUCAAACUUGAGGUAGCUAUUGGCAUCAAAGUUGAGUGACUCUUGGUUUUUAUGCAUUUCAUAUUCUCCUCUAUCGUCAAGGACUAACUUCUUUAAUUGAGGAAAACUCUCAAGUAGACCUACUAAUAGUUUGUAGUCAUUGAAAUGAAAUCCAAGUUGCAAGGACUUGACAUUAGGAAAAGAGGAAUUCAUGCAUCUCUUAAUCAUAGCUCCAAGCACCUGAUGUCAAAUAAGUUCAUAAUAAUAAUCAGCUCACUGAUGCAAACACCAAGUAAGAUAAAAGGCAAGCAUUGAUUUUUAGGGAUGCAACAAUGAUUUCAUCAAAUUAAAAGAAUGUCAAACAUUACAUAUCAUUUAUAGUUAUUACAAUGCUAACAUACAAGUCACAAGCUUGAUGUUACAAAGUAAUGCAUAUAUAUAAAUUCUAGAAUGGAUUUAAAAAGGAUAGGAGUUAGUUGCAUGAUGAAAGUGGGAACUCUAAUAUACGUGGUUCACAUGCACACACUAAUUGAAGUUAGAAAUAAGAAAACAUGACUUAACAACUAUGCUCAAUAAAUAAUGAAAACUUCAUCAACAUAUUUAGAAUUAAUUUGAUCUCUUCAGCCUCAUUGCUACUCUAUUAAUACAUAACAAAUGCAAGACGCAUAAGAUAGUUUAAAGAAACCGAACCUUGAUGCAACAGAACAUUAAUAUGACGUUUUCAACAUGUUGGAUGGCUGAGAGAAUUUGACAGAACGCAUCUCCCAGAAAAUCAUCCGGGGUAAACAAGCCACGCUCAGUGUCUAUCCCGGGAAAGGAAUCAUAUACAUCAAAAUAAUGUAGACCAGAUAGCCCAAGAGUUGCGUGGGUUAAAGAUGAGACAUUAACCAACAGACACUUUUUAUAUGGAGCUCCUUCAAUUUCCAAGGUUUCAAGAUUUGGGGUACAAAUUAUCAGUUCUGAAUCCCAACAUUGAUAACCAAGAAGAGUAUAAUACUUUCGAAUCGACAGCACUUUCAAACUAGUAGAUCGGAAAGACAAGUUUUCAUACUCUCUAUCUGCAAAAGACAAGAUCAAGACUUCCAACCGAGGACUACCAGAUAAUAUUUGGUUAACCACAUGAUCAGUGACCCCAAAGCCAUCAAUAAUUGUUAAACUUUUGAGUUGAUUCCACUGCACAUCCCCAUAAACUCUAAAGUCUCUAAAGUUACAAUCCUCUAACCAUAACACUUUAAGAGAUGAGCACGAGUAUACACACUGCGGCAAACAGUACAUGUCGUCAAACAGAAUAUGCAAGUAUAAUUCUUCGACCCCCUUAUCCUUAGCAAAUUGAAGCCACAAAUCAAUACCCAAACAGAUGGAAUCAUCAAACUCAUAACCCGAUUUGAACUUGAAUUUCAGAACCCUUACCCCAUUCCAGCGUACUAAGGCCCGAUUAACGAAGUUUUGAAGCUCUCUACCAUCAUCAAAAUCCAUAGCACCAUUGUCGAAAUUAAGGUAGGGAGCGGUGGUCCAAAGGUUUUUCCAGCGCUUCGAUAGAAAUGUCGUCCUAACAACAUCAGUCAUAGGCAACGACCAAAAUAUGUGAAAUAUUAUCGAGUCCGGCAACUCACUGAGUCGAUCCAUGAAACCCUCUGAAACAUAAUGAAGCAUCAAAGGAAUGAAAUGUGCAUCAAAAACUCAGAAUUCACCUUUAAUGGAAGCAAAAUAACACAUUGUAGUAUCAAAUUCUCGAAGAUUACCUCAAGAUGAACGCUUCUUCGCUCUCGCGCCAACAAAACCCUUGUUUGAGCUAAUGAACAAACAAAGGAGACUCAAAAGGCAUUGUAGCAUUGCUGCCUAAAAGCGCUAAAGUGGAAAAUUAAGCUUGGAACUUGGGGUUUUAAAAUCGCAAAUCGAAAUAAAAGCUGCUAUUGCAUUCUUUUAUAGGGGUUUUAAUUUACGGUAAUGUUCUUUGAACAAAAUAUAUGUCCGCACAAAAAUAUGGUUAAAUAUUUUUAAAAGAUAAAUUUAUUUAAAAUUUUUGGUUCAAACAAAACAAGAAUUUUGUUAGUUUUAUUCAUUUCUCCUUAUUAUAUUUUUUGUAAUUAUUUAAUAAUAUUUUUAAUUUUUAUUAUUUUUAAAGUGCAAAAAUUACAAAAAAAGGAAAAUAAUAAAAAUUAAAAGAAUUGUUAAAAAAUUACAAAAAAAACUACAAUAUGAAAAAAUUAAUAAAGCUAAAUAAAUCCUGUUUGAAUUUGAACCAAAGAUUAUAAAUAAAUCAAGUUUUUUAAAUUUAUGACCUUUUUUUAUCAGAAUAAAUUUUGUCCAAAUAACACUGCCAUUUAAUUUAUUCUGUCACCAACCAAAACCAUUGGCAGAUUACCAUUUUAUCUCUCUUAAUUAAUACCUUCUCAUCAAAAGCGAGGUGGAUAUUUUUGUGAUAUUGGAGUAAUUACUAAUAGCAUCCACUUAAGAGCUACUACUUUAUAAGAAGGGACUUUAAAAUUGGUUUGAAAAUUUUUAUUUUUAUUUUAUUCAAAUUGAUUUCUUCAUUUUUGAAAUCAAACAUUUUAUUAAGUUUUAAAUUUAAACAUUACAAUGAUUAAAACAAAAUAUAGUAAUAAAAAAAUAUUACAAUAAUUAAAUAAAAUGAAGAGUUAGUUGGAAGAGGAGUGGGAAGAAGAAGACAUUUUAAAGGAGGAGAAUGAUAGAAAAUGAGUAGUGAGAAUUGAUGUGAAAAAUAGCAGAAAUGAAAUACUCAAUAGAUCAAUUUUAGAAUAAAAAAAAGUGAAACAACCGUUGCAUGACUAAUUAAAAGAAAUCGACAGAAAGAGCCAUUGAGAUCAAUUUAAAAUUUAAUUUUAAAAUGGUGUGCACAUAGGUUGAGCCUCAUAUUUCUAGACGAAAGUCUGACGUGAGGCUUAAAGCUCGGCACGAGCUUGAGGUGCGGCACUGGGAGGGCAGUGCGGAUAGUGGGGCUCGAUGUAGCAGGUACAGUCCCGUUGUGGCCCGUGUGGAUGCUCUAAAUAAAAAUAUAUAGUGUAUUUAUAUUAGGUAGCUUCCUUAAGGUGUAGUCUUCAUUAUAAUACCGCAGUCUUGUUUAAGGUUCACCUCAAUCAAUUAACGAACAAGGAUAAUGUAUCAUUCAUAUUUGUUAGAGCUAAUUUAUUAAUUCUAUUUUAUUUGUAUAGGUUUGUCUUUUUUAUUAAAUAUAUUAUAUUUAGGACAAUAUAUAUUGUUAGUUUGCAUUUGCAACAUAUUAAUUUGGUCAUGGCCGGAAAUAAUUUGGUUAUGGGCCGUUAUUUGGGCUCACCAUCCUUAAUUUUCAAGUUUCAAUAACUCUAUAAAUAGAACCCAAAAAUUGCACCAAAUAAAACCCCAAACACGUUUCUAUGAAAUCUAUUUUUUAAUGUUUAGAACUUAGAAACCCAAAAACUUUUUUAUUCCAUGGGCAACUCACUAUAAGAAGCUCCAUCGUGAUUAUGUUUUUUUUUUUUCCCUUUAUUAGUUUAACAGAAUAUUUAGUUGAUAACUAAGAAAAGAGGUGACAAUUUCAGUUCUCUUUUGCUUGAAUACCAACAGAAAUCUGAAUGAUCGACGUUUUAUACGUGAGAGAAAUGAAAUUGUUAGCCUAUCAUAUGAAGCACUAGAUUAAUUUGACAUUGGGAAGUAAAGCAAGAUAAACAACAAUAGUGCUACUAAUGAAAAUUGCUCUGCUUCCCUAAAUAAGCAAAUAUAUAAAGAAAAUUUGAAGACGAAACAAAAGGAUAUCAAGCUCAGCACAUACUGCAUUCCUAUGAAUAUGAUUGAAGACAUAACUUGGUAAGAUCAAUAUUCAAAAAAGUAAAUUGUGCAGUUCAUGAGGUUUCAUUCAUAGCACUAAGAAAUUCAUCCAAAAGUGUCGAACUGCUCUACUGCCCUGAAUAAGCAAAAUACAACAACAAAAUGAAACAAACAAGGUAACAAAAACUGAAACAGGGUUAAAGAAAAGUAAAAUCCAACUCCCCAGAUCGGAGCAUAAUGCCGUCAUUGCAAAAUAUUUACAGAAAAUGUACGACAAACGCUAUUACCCGUCCAAGAAGACAAUCAGCUAGUUACUUGGAGUCAUGUGGCAUUCCUAUGAUUAGAGACAUAACUUGGUAAGAUCAAUAUUCACAGAAAAUCAAUUGAGCAGUUGGGGAGGAUCUUGGCAUUCUCAGCAGUUUCUGUGAUGCCCGAAACAAAGAUUUUGAUGGACAUUUAGGUGGCAUGAUUCCUCUUACUCUGAACACCAUCUUUUCUAGAUUGCUCGCGUAUUUUAACAGAAACUCUAAAAACGGAAAUACUUCGUCAUCCUCAUCCUCAUCCCAAAUAACCUCAACUGUCCUCAACUGCAGAAAGGACUCGGGA
rnacentral:lncRNA from 1 species